rnacentral:rRNA from 1 species
CCUACGGGUGGCAGCAGUGGGGAAUAUUUCACAAUGGGGGAAACCCUGAUGCAGCGACGCCGCGUGAGGGAGGAAGUAUUUCGGUAUGUAAAGCUCUGUUAGCAGGGAAGAAGAAUGAGGGUACCUGAAGAAGAAGCACCGGCUAAAUACGGGCCAGCAGCCGCGGUAAUCCGGAUGGUGCACGCGUUAUCCGGAUUUACUGGGUGUAAAGGGAGGGCAGGCGGUUCUGCAAGUCUGAUGUGAAAGCCCGGGGCUCAACCGCGGGACUGUAUUGUAAACUGUGUGACUUGAGUGUCGGAGGGGUAAGUGGAAUUCCUGGUGUAGCGGUGAAAUGCGUAGAUAUCAGGAGGAACACCAGGGGCGAAGGCAGAUUACUGG